CAUUAGAUGGCUGAAAUUUUAAGUAUUGGUCUCUUAAACCAAAUUAUAGUAUAAUAAUACUUCUAAUG
rnacentral:tRNA from 1 species